rnacentral:rRNA from 1 species
AUACGGAGGGUCCGAGCGUUAUCCGGAAUCAUUGGGUUUAAAGGGUCCGUAGGCGGGAAUCGAAGUCAGUGGUGAAAUCUUGCAGCUCAACUGUAAAAUUGCCAUUGAUACUGGAUUUCUUGAAUUAGUGUGAAGUGGUUAGAAUGUGUAGUGUAGCGGUGAAAUGCAUAGAUAUUACACAGAAUACCAAUUGCGAAGGCAGAUCACUAACACUAUAUUGACGCUAAGGGACGAAAGCGUGGGGAGCGAACAGGAUUAGAAACCCGGGUAGUCC